rnacentral:rRNA from 1 species
CAAUAGCGUAUAUUUAAGUUGCUGCAGUUAAAAAGCUCGUAGUUGGAUUUCGGGUGGGCAUGGCCGGUCCGCCGUUUCGGUGUGCACUUGCUACGCCCACCUUGCUGCCGGGGACGUGCUCUUGAGUUCACGCUCGGGACACGGAGUCGGCGAGGUUACUUUGAGUAAAUUAGAGUGUUCAAAGCAGGCCUACGCUCUGAAUACAUUAGCAUGGAAUAACACGAUAGGACUCUGGCCUAUCUUGUUGGUCUGUAGGACCGGAGUAAUGAUUAAGAGGGACAGUCGGGGGCAUUCGUAUUUCAUUGUCAGAGGUGAAAUUCUUGGAUUUAUGAAAGACGAACUACUGCGAAAGCAUUUGCCAAGGAUGUUUUCAUUAA